rnacentral:rRNA from 1 species
GACGAACGCUGGCGGCGUGCCUAAUACAUGCAAGUCGAACGAACCGCGACUAAGUGCUUGCACUAAGUCAAGGUGAGUGGCGAACGGGUGAGUAACACGUGGGUAACCUACCUCAUAGUGGGGGAUAACAGUCGGAAACGACUGCUAAUACCGCAUAGGACAUAGGAUCACAUGAUCCAGUGAGGAAAGGUGGCGCAAGCUAUCGCUAAGAGAUGGACCCGCGGUGCAUUAGCUAGUUGGUAGGGUAAAGUCCUACCAAGGCGAUGAUGCAUAGCCGACCUGAGAGGGUGAUCGGCCACAUUGGGACUGAGACACGGCCCAAACUCCUAAGGGAGGCAGCAGUAGGGAAUCUUCCGCAAUGGACGCAAGUCUGACGGAGCAACGCCGCGUGAGUGAAGAAGGUCUUCGGAUCGUAAAGCUCUGUUGUUAGAGAAGAACAGCGCAUAGAGUAACUGCUAUGCGUGUGACGGUAUCUAACCAGAAAGCCACGGCUAACUACGUG